GGCAUGGUGGCUCAGUGGUUAGAGCGCCCGCCUCAUAAACGGGAGGUCGUGGGUUCGAACCCCGGCCGAGUCA
rnacentral:tRNA from 1 species